rnacentral:tRNA from 8 species
GCGGACGUAACUCAGAGGUAGAGUGCAAUCCUUCCAAGUUUGAAGUCGUGGGUUCGAUUCCCAUCGUCCGCUCCA